rnacentral:lncRNA from 1 species
UUACACUUCUCACUCUGCACUUAUUCUCUCAUUUUUACUAGUAUGUUUUCAAUUUAAUUUACAACAUCCAAAACAAUAUGUUUCUUUUUGCACUACACUUCCUUUUUUUUCUCUUAUGCUUCUAUUUGUGGAUCUAUUGUCUCCCUUGCAAUUAGCAUGCCUAUUUUCCCUUGUGAUUAUCCAGUAAUCCAGCAUGUCUACUGCUUUCUUACAAUUUCUACUACUAUUCUGUCCUACCCCCUAACCCCCAAUACAUUAUAAGCAUGACAGUUAGUUAUUAUGUGAUCCUGAACGUUCCCCCUAAACCUAAUGUGUAACUCUUUUU